CCCCAAGUAUGAUCCUGUUUAAGGACUGGAUUUAGGAUAACUACUUAGAGGUUAAAAGUCACAAGGGUGUAUGGAUGAGGCUGGAGUGAUCUGGGACCAAAGACAUCUAGGCUUGCUGUCAAGGCUUCUGAUCAACAUGAGAUGACCGCCGUGUGGUAAACUGAUGAACCCCGACCCUGAUCAACGUGAGAUGACCGCCGUGUGGUAAACUGAUGAACCCCGACCCUGAUGAACAUGAGAUGACCGCCGUGUGGUAAACUGAUGAACCCCGACCCUGAUCAACAUGAGAUGACCGCCGUGUGGUAAACUGAUGAACCCCGACCCUGAUCAACAUGAGAUGACCGCCGUGUGGUAAACUGAUGAACCCCGACCCUGAUGAACGUGAGAUGACCGCCGUGUCGUAAACUGAUGAACCCCGACCCUGAUGAACGUGAGAUGGCCGCCGUGUGGUAAACUGAUGAACCCCGACCCUGAUGAACGUGAGAUGGCCGCCGUGUGGUAAACUGAUGAACCCCGACCCUGAUGAACGUGAGAUGGCCGCCGUGUGGUAAACUGAUGAACCCCGACCCUGAUGAACGUGAGAUGACCGCCGUGUGGUAAACUGAUGAACCCCGACCCUGAUGAACGUGAGAUGGCCGCCGUGUGGUAAACUGAUGAACCCCGACCCUGAUCAACGUGAGAUGGCCGCCGUGUGGUAAACUGAUGAACCCCGACCCUGAUGAACAUGAGAUGGCCGCCGUGUGGUAAACUGAUGAACCCCGACCCUGAUGAACGUGAGAUGACCGCCGUGUGGUAAACUGAUGAACCCCGACCCUGAUGAACGUGAGAUGACCGCCGUGUGGUAAACUGAUGAACCCCGACCCUGAUCAACGUGAGAUGGCCGCCGUGUGGUAAACUGAUGAACCCCGACCCUGAUGAACGUGAGAUGGCCGCCGUGUGGUAAACUGAUGAACCCCGACCCUGAUGAACGUGAGAUGGCCGCCGUGUGGUAAACUGAUGAACCCCGACCCUGAUGAACGUGAGAUGGCCGCCGUGUGGUAAACUGAUGAACCCCGACCCUGAUCAACGUGAGAUGGCCGCCGUGUGGUAAACUGAUGAACCCCGACCCUGAUGAACGUGAGAUGGCCGCCGUGUGGUAAACUGAUGAACCCCGACCCUGAUGAACGUGAGAUGGCCGCCGUGUGGUAAACUGAUGAACCCCGACCCUGAUCAACGUGAGAUGGCCGCCGUGUGGUAAACUGAUGAACCCCGACCCUGAUGAACGUGAGAUGGCCGCCGUGUGGUAAACUGAUGAACCCCGACCCUGAUGAACGUGAGAUGGCCGCCGUGUGGUAAACUGAUGAACCCCGACCCUGAUGAACGUGAGAUGGCCGCCGUGUGGUAAACUGAUGAACCCCGACCCUGAUGAACGUGAGAUGGCCGCCGUGUGGUAAACUGAUGAACCCCGACCCUGAUGAACGUGAGAUGGCCGCCGUGUGGUAAACUGAUGAACCCCGACCCUGAUCAACGUGAGAUGACCGCCGUGUGGUAAACUGAUGAACCCCGACCCUGAUCAACGUGAGAUGACCGCCGUGUGGUAAACUGAUGAACCCCGACCCUGAUCAACGUGAGAUGGCCGCCGUGUGGUAAACUGAUGAACCCCGACCCUGAUGAACGUGAGAUGGCCGCCGUGUGGUAAACUGAUGAACCCCGACCCUGAUCAACAUGAGAUGACCGCCGUGUGGUAAACUGAUGAACCCCGACCCUGAUGAACAUGAGAUGGCUGCCGUGUGGUAAACUGAUGAACCCCGACCCUGAUGAACAUGAGAUGACCGCCGUGUGGUAAACUGAUGAACCCCGACCCUGAUGAACAUGAGAUGGCCGCCGUGUGGUAAACUGAUGAACCCCGACCCUGAUGAACGUGAGAUGGCCGCCGUGUGGUAAACUGAUGAACCCCGACCCUGAUCAACAUGAGAUGACUGCCGUGUGGUAAACUGAUGAACCCCGACACUGAUCAACAUGAGAUGGCCGCUGUGUGGUAAACUGAUGAACCCUGGCCCAUUAGGCUUUGGCUACAGAAUGUGGAAAUAAGUUGUGUUACUACAUGUGUGUAAUCCUAGGGUUCAGGACACAGGCUGGGAGGUUCCAUAGAGUGAUGGGUUGUGCAGGUAACUCAUCCUCUAGUCCUCUGUAAGCUCCUAGAAGGAAGAAAUUAUGUCCUUUAGACUAAUAAAAUUCCUCCAAACCAAAUACAGCACCUACUGUGAAGACACAAAGAUACUUUUAGAAUAGUAAAAACUUUAUCCAUUGAGAAAUUCCUUAAUGAAACAGUAUCCAAGAAGUCAUUUGCCAGCAGAUUUCUUAGAGGUGCGAUAAAGAAGAGGACAUUGCCAGUCGUCACAGCAGCUGCAAUAGCUCCUCUCUAUUGUUAAACAGUGGGAUAUCUUGUACAGGUUUUCAGUUGACAAUCAAUUUUAAAGAUUAGUUUCAGUCCCCAUCAAUCAAUUAUUUAUUAACCCAUCAAUAAAAAUUUAAAUGCUC